rnacentral:tRNA from 1 species
GAGGGUAUGGCUCAGCAGUAUAGGGUGCACUUAGCAUGUGUGAGGUCCUGGGUUCAAUCCCCAGUACCUCCA